rnacentral:lncRNA from 1 species
CGGCAGAAGGAGAAAAAAAAUUAAAAACCAAUUCUUCAGAGAACAAUUGAAGGUCUUUCCACCUCGAUAAUAAGAAUGAAAUUUACAAAAUGAUGUUAUAAAAUGUCACUCCGUGUUGAUGUAAUGUGGUAAAUCAAACUGAUAUAAAAAAAAUAAGAUCAAUAAGUUGAUGCAGUAGACUUAAUUGUUUUAUAAUGAACUAGAAAGAAUUUUUAGCAACGGUCAAAAUCUAGAACGUCGAAUUGAUCUUUGACCUUGACCUCAAUUUUGAGGUCAUAGGUCAGUGAUCUCAAGUUUAAAGACCC